UGCCAGCAGCCGCGGUAAUACCGGUGGCUCGAGUGGUGGCCGCUAUUAUUGGGUCUAAAGGGUCCGUAGCCGGCCUGGUAAGUUACCUGGGAAAUCCGGUGGCCUAACCAUCGGGCGGCCAGGUAAUACUAUCAGGCUCGGGACUAGGAGAGACCGGAGGUACUCAUGAGGUAGGAGUGAAAUCCUGUAAUCUUAUGAGGACCACCAGUGGUGAAGACGUCUGGUUAGAAUAGGUCCGACGGUGAGGGACGAAGGCUGGGGGCGCAAACCGGAUUAGAUACCCGGGUAGUCCCAGCAGUAAACGAUGCCAGCUAUGUGUUGCUGGAACCAUGGGUUCCAGCAGUGCCGAAGGGAAGCCGUGAAGCUGGCCACCUGGGAAGUACGGUCGCAAGGCUGAAACUUAAAGGAAUUGGCGGGGGAGUACCACAACCGGUGGAGCCUGCGGUUUAAUUGGAUACAACGCCGGGAAUCUUACCGGAGGGGACAGCAGUAUGAA
rnacentral:rRNA from 1 species